AACAUGGUAAAUUUCAAUAGUCCUCUAAGAUAUCUUGUCACCAGGUGCUAUCUUGGGAGUCAUAGGUGUUGAUGCUAGGUGCCUAAAAUGGAAGAUACCAUUCAAAAGUGGCCCAACGCACUAAUGAUAAGGAGUGCAUAUACAACCAUUCAAAUACAUGUAGCUCGAAGAUGAAGUGUUGAUAUGGUGCUGGCCACAAACUUAGAGCACCACAUUCAUUUACUCAUGCCAAAUGCUAGUGCAGUUAAUGCCCUUAAAAAGGGUUGCUGAUUUUGGUACCAUAACAAUUUCUUUUAUAUGUCAUCUUUUCAUCUAUAAUCUUACAUUAGCUGCAAUGCAUGCGAGAUCUAUUUUACUUGUGUGUAUGUUUGUGUGCAUUUACUAGAAAACUAUAUUUAAGUGGUAUAAACUUGGAGCAGGUCACAUGUUUGACAAUGGCAAGUUUGGUGCUCUUGAGAAAACUAGAAGUGUGACUUCUUGUGCUUAUUGGUGUAGAUUUUGAGACUUCUUUUUGUGGAAGUUGUAGGGGCUUGUGCCUAAGUCUAGCGUGAGGCCUUUUUCUCCAAUUUUCAUCAUCAGUUAUCAAGAUUCUUAUAAGCCCAUUGCAGUCAUUUCAAAUGCAUACAUAUGUAAUUUUUCAACUAAUGACGAUUUUAUUAUAGUACUUUAGAAAGGCAAGUUAUGCAGCAGCACUGUCUGAUUGAGUGAAUAAAAAAAGUCGAAAAUUU
rnacentral:lncRNA from 1 species